GACGAACGCUGGCGGCGUGCCUAAUACAUGCAAGUCGAACGCACUCUCGUUUAGAUUGAAGGAGCUUGCUCCUGAUUGAUAAACAUUUGAGUGAGUGGCGGACGGGUGAGUAACACGUGGGUAACCUGCCCUAAAGUGGGGGAUAACAUUUGGAAACAGAUGCUAAUACCGCAUAAAACCUAAACACCGCAUGGUGUAGGGUUGAAAGAUGGUUUCGGCUAUCACUUUAGGAUGGACCCGCGGUGCAUUAGUUAGUUGGUGAGGUAAAGGCUCACCAAGACCGUGAUGCAUAGCCGACCUGAGAGGGUAAUCGGCCACACUGGGACUGAGACACGGCCCAGACUCCUACGGGAGGCAGCAGUAGGGAAUCCUCCACAAUGGACGAAAGUCUGAUGGAGCAACGCCGCGUGAGUGAAGAAGGUUUUCGGAUCGUAAAACUCUGUUGUUGGAGAAGAAUGUAUCUGAUAGUAACUGAUCAGGUAGUGACGGUAUCCAACCAG
rnacentral:rRNA from 1 species